GUUCGUGAGCAUCAAAACUGACGCUGCUUGUUGUUGGGAAACACAAGUGAGGAUGUUAAAUUGAGCAAGGUGUGCCGUCCAAGAGAAGAUUCGGCAGCUGAAGACGGGCCCGCGAUGGGUUCCGGAGAUUGGACGAAGACGAACCCUCGGUGGAUGCUGGAGGUCGGACAGAAGAUGAAGAGGAGCAAGUGCCAAUAGUAGUUACGACAAAUGCAGAACGUUACAUCUGAAAGCCACGGUAUCACUGGUAAUGAAGCCAAUCCUUGUCACAGGACAGAACCCACACCCAAGUCAACACAAAAUGAGGAAGGAGCAUACAGGGGAGGAACAGCAGCAUCAGAACCCUACCAUGGAUUGUCACUGGGAAAACCAAGGCAUCACAACUGACCAGAAGUAGCUGGAGCUAAUGGCGAUUGAAAAUCAAGCUGGACUCCUUUGCAGUGUCAUUGGAUUCACCAUAAGGGCAAAGCCAGAAGAAAGAUGUCAAACAGCCUGACCAGCUCGGAGAGGAUUCUGCUGGCAAGAUAGAAUCUCUGGGAAUGACGCAUCUUUUUACCAAUGAACGGAGCCCUCACCAAUUCAACCAGUCAAAAGAAAGCACAUGCUAAGCAAUAACAAAUAAAGAAAAUUUUAUAUUGGCAUAUAUUGGAGUUGAUAUACAUUACAGCAAUCGAAUUGAUAUCUUGUCUCAUUAUGUUAUUAUUAGUUAUGGGAAAGUAGACCAACAAUCAUUGUGGAGCAGCCAUUCUGAUGCAGUCUGUUGUGGUUUAUAAGGAAUGUGUUGCUGGUGCAAUGUGGUUCAAGAACCUGAUGGUUGACAGGGAGAUGCUGUUCUUGAACUUUGAAAGACCAGUCCUUGGGCUGCUGAGGGUCUUUUAAGAGGCACCAUAAAGAGCUGCAAUUUGCAUUUUUAGUCUGGAUGCCUUAUUACUUUAUUUGCUGACAUAUAUAGCCUUCGUGUGAAGUUCAGACCAGCAUUUUAUCUUCAGGCUGGGUAGAAAGUUUGUGGUAUUUAGCCACAAUGCAAGUGUGAUGUGAACAUAACGUGUUGUAUUGAUUAAUCCAUAUAAUGAUAGGGGAUGGAUGCAAUAUCUCUCCAAUAGCCAUAUCUCUCCAAUUGGUUGUUGGGUUUCUGCAAUGUGGUUUGAGCUUGACAAAAAGCUGUUUUAAACCUGGAGGGGAUAGUUCUCUGGUUCCUGUAUUAUCUUUCUGAUGAUAGCAGCCGAAGGGCCUGUUUUUGCGCUGUAUCUCUAAACUAAACUAAUUCACUGAUUCUCUUGUGCCCUUGUCUCUGUCUCCGAUUUCACCAACGGAUACGGAGGACUUCCACUCCCAGUAACCUUCCUCCUCAACCCUCCUUCUAUGCUGUCUUGGGCAAGCACAAGUCACCAGUCGUCUAUAUUGAUGGACCCAUGCUCUCAGAUCUUGGCUAUCAUGGACCUUCUGUGGACCAAUGAGCUUAACCUGGGAAAUCUGCACACUGACAGUUGCCGUCUUGCCCGAGGAGAUCCAGAGCAUCUGCAAUGUUCCCUCGCUCAUUCCAACAAAGCCUCUGCUGGGUUCGAUCCAGAGUAUGAGGCACUGCCCUAACCAUUAGAGAUGGAUGCCAUGUUGAAAAUAACCAAGCAUUCAGAAAGGAAUGGAUGGAUCCUGCUUCUUACUGCUCCCUCCAGCAAGAUGGCGGUGAUACACUUCAUCCUCCAGAUCACCACAACAGCAGUCUGCAGUACCAUCGGGCAGCUCAUUAUGAUGAUGGUAGCCGGAAUCACCAGGACAAUGGUCCAGACUUCCAAUUUGUACAUUGACAUAAUUGAAACCGCCUUAUUGGGUUAAAGCACAGAAUGGAUUUAGAUGAAGGAAAUAAUAUGAGCCACUGAAUUACAUCAUCACCAAAAAAGCAUACCAUCGUUUCUACUUCCUCAGAAGACAAAGAUAUUUGACAUUAAUUUAAAGACUUUUACCAACUUCUACAGUUGAACUGUAGAAAGCGUACUGCUGGGUUGUAUCACAGCUUGGUUUGGGAACAGCUUUGCCCAAGACCACAAGAAAUUGCAGAGUUGUGGAUCACUCCAGCACACAGACCAGACUUCCCACCAUUGACUACAUCUACACUUCAUUCCCUUGGGAAAGCAGCCAACAUAAUCAAAGACCUUUUCCACCCUUGUCAUUUCCACUUUUCCCUGCUUCCACCAUAAAGAGGAUAUAAAAACUUGAAAGCGCGUACCUUCAGACUCGGGUGCAGCUUCUUCCCCUGUUAUUUGAAUUCUGAAUGGUCCUUCCUGAAGCUAGGAUACAUUUCCUAAUUUCCAACCAACAUCAUUGUGACCAUUGGACUUUUUCCUCAGAUUAUGCUACAAUGUUGAAAAACUGUAUGCUGCACUAUGCAUGUUUCUCCUCUCUAUCUAUUGUGCUUGUGCAUGGCUUGAUUGUACAGUAUCACCUGAUUUAAUUGCAUAGCAUGCAAACAAAAGCUUUUCACUGUAUCUCAGUGUACACAACAAUAAAGCAAUUUA